rnacentral:misc_RNA from 1 species
UCUCCGUUGGUGAACCAGCGGAGGGAUCAUUACCGAGUUUACAACUCCCACACCCCAUGUGAACCUUACCAAACGUUGCUUCGGCGGGAUGCCCCGGGCUCGGGCCGCAAGGCCUCAGACCCGUAACCAGGCGCCCGCCGGAGGCCCAAACCAAACUCUUGUUUUUGUCGAAUCUUCUGAGUGGCCUUUUAGGCAAAAAAUGAAUCAAAACUUUCAACAACGGAUCUCUUGGUUCUG